CAGUCGCCGCGGUAAUACAGAGGGUGCGAGCGUUAAUCGGAUUUACUGGGCGUAAAGCGUGCGUAGGCGGCUAAUUGAGUCGGAUGUGAAAUCCCCAAGCUUAACUUGGGAAUUGCAUUCGAUACUGGUUAGCUAGAGUGUGGGAGAGGAUGGUAGAAUUCCAGGUGUAGCGGUGAAAUGCGUAGAGAUCUGGAGGAAUACCGAUGGCGAAGGCAGCCAUCUGGCCUAACACUGACGCUGAGGUACGAAAGCAUGGGGAGCAAACAGGAUUAGAUACCCGCGUAGUCCCUGUCUCUUAUAC
rnacentral:rRNA from 1 species